CUUGCAUCCUGUGUCCAUAAUCUAUUCUGGACUGUUUCAAACUCUACGUGAAUUCCCUUCAACUCGACCUCCAGUCAAUAAAUCACACAACCCAUGGAAGACCUCGACUUCACAUCAAAUUAUUCCUCUCACCAAAAUCCAGAACCCUGGAUACAAUUGACAUUGAUCAUCUCUUCUCAAUGAGAAUCCGAAUCUUGUCCAAAGUUAUUAAUGAUUGAUAAACU